rnacentral:rRNA from 1 species
GAUGAGCGCUAGCGGGAGGCCUAACACAUGCAAGCCGAGCGGGAUUUGUUGGUUAGCUUGCUAACUAACAAUGAGAGCGGCGUACGGGUGCGUAGCACGUGUGCAACCUGCCUUUAUCUGGGGGAUAGCCUUUCGAAAGGAAGAUUAAUACCCCAUAACAUAUUGAUUGGCAUCAGUUAAUAUUGAAAGCUCCGGCGGAUAGAGAUGGGCACGCGUAAGAUUAGCUAGUUGGUGAGGUAACGGCUCACCAAGGCUGCGAUCUUUAGGGGGCCUGAGAGGGUGAUCCCCCACACUGGUACUGAGACACGGACCAGACUCCUACGGGAGGCAGCAGUGAGGAAUAUUGGACAAUGGGUGAGAGCCUGAUCCAGCCAUCCCGCGUGAAGGACUAAGGACCUAUGGUUUGUAAACUUCUUUUAUACAGGGAUAAACCUACUCUCGUGAGGGUAGCUGAAGGUACUGUAUGAAUAAGCACCGGCUAACUCCGUG